CGCGGCUUCCGGACCCGCUGGGAAGUGGGGCAGAGGCGAAGGCGGCGGCCGGGGCUGUGGGCCGGGAUCCGGGAUCGGCGGGGCCGGGGAGGACGGAGCAGGGGAGAGAACAGUGUGGGGGGAUUCGUCAUCGAACGUGGGCUUCGUGAAUAGCCUGGUUGUGCUGCAGACCUGCAACAUGGAAAAGCAAGUGCUUGAAUCCUCAGAGGAGCGAACGUUUCAGUACCAAGAUUCUCUGCCUUCCCUGCCAGUACCUCCUCUUGAUGAAUCUUUGAGUAAAUAUCUUGAUGCAGUGAAGCCAUUUCUAAAUCAAGAAGAAUAUCAAAGAACCGAGAAUAUAGUUAAAAAAUUUGAAAAUGGCAUUGGUAAAGAGUUGCAUCAGAAAUUACUGGAAAGAGCUAAAAUGAGAAGGAAUUGGCUGGAGGACUGGUGGCUGAAUGUGGCUUAUCUUGAUCUUCGCAUCUCAACACAAAUACACUGUAAUAUGGGAGGCCCUGGUCCCUAUAUUGAACACUGCUGGCCACCAAAAGAGGGCUCUCAGAUAGACAGAGCAUGUGUAAAUACAUGGCACACCGUGAAAUACUGGGAUUUGUUGCGAGCAGAGAAGGUUGCUGUAGAGAGGUCUGGGAAUACUGUUCUGGACAUGAACCAAUUUCGGAUGCUCUUCUGCACUUGCAAAAUUCCUGGAAUUACUAGAGACUCGAUUGGCACUUACUUUAAAACUGAGGCUGAAGAUGAAUGCCCAUCUCACUUGAUCGUCCUGUGUCGAGGUCGGGUGUUUGCAUUUGAUGCUGUACAUGAAGGCAGCAUACUGACUCCUCCGGAGAUUUCCAGGCAACUUACAUAUAUACAGAAGAGAUGCCAUAGUGAACCAGAUGGACCAGGACUGGCAGCCCUAACAAGCAAUGAAAGGACCAAAUGGGCAGAGCUCCGGGAAUAUUUGAUUCAUCUUGAUCCAAAGAACUUAACUCUUCUGGAAAAAAUUCAGAGAAGUUUGUUUGUGGUCUGCCUUGAUGACUCUAGCCCCCAUUCAACUCCUGAGGACUACACCGAGCUUACAAGGCUGGGGCUAACAGGUGAUCCGACUGUGCGCUGGGGAGAUAAAUCCUACAACAGCAUAUUCUUUUCCAAUGGAACCUGUAGUGCAUUCUGUGACCAUUCUCCUUUUGAUGCCAUGGCUUUAAUUACCAUGUUAUCUUAUGCCGAAAAGAAGAUUAUUGAAAAUGAGGGAAAAUGGAAGGGAUCAGAUAAUGUGAGGGAUAUUCCAUGGCCAGAGGAACUUGUAUUCACAGUGGAUCCAAAAAUUAUAAAUGAAAUUGGACAUACUAAAGAAUUGUAUUACAAGAAGGUAUCUGACUUGCAGCUGGUGUCUUAUGCCUUCACAUCCUUUGGCAAAGCAUUGAUUAGAAAAAGUAAACUUCAUCCUGAUACAUUUGUGCAGCUUGCCCUUCAGCUUGCUUAUUACAAAUGCCAUGGACGUCCGGGCUGCUGUUACGAAACUGCCACGACCAGGCGUUUCUAUCAUGGCCGCACAGAGACCAUAAGACCAUGUACUGUGGAAGCAGUGGAAUGGUGCAAGUCCAUGCUGGAUCCCUCUGAGAGUACUUACCAACAGCUACAACUGAUGCAUAAGGCAUUUGCAAAGCACAAUAAAAUGAGGAAAGAAUGUGAGAAUGGAAAAGGCUUUGAUCGUCAUCUUCUGGGUCUCCUGCUCAUAGCACAGGAGCAAGGACUGCCAGUGCCAGAACUCUAUGGGGAUAAGGCCUUCACAGCCAGUGGAGGAGGUGGGAAUUUUGUCCUUUCAACUAGUCUGACUGGCUACACUAGGUUUAGUGGAUCUGCACUCCCUAUGGUACAACAUGGCUAUGGCUUUUUUUAUUCAAUUAGAGAUGACAGGAUCGUUACUACCUGUUCUUCUUGGAAAUCCUGUCCAGAGACUGAUGCAGAAGUGCUGUGCAGAACUCUGUUCCAGUAUUUUCAUGCCAUGCUGCAGUUAACAGUUACAGCUCAGCUGUAAGCUCAAUAAUGAUAAACAACUCAAUUUUCAGCUAACAUGGAACCAGUCUCUUUGCCCUCUGGAAGCUCUGUUGCAUAUUUUUUGUCCACAGUAGCAAGAAUACUUCCCCUUUUUAUUUCCUCCCUUAAUACCUGACACUUCUCUACAGUCUAGGGUAUGUUACACUGUGUCUUGUUGCCUCAAAAAAUGGUCUCCUCAUUUCAGCCUUUUGUUUCCUUGCCUUUACUGAGCUAUCUGUAUGUCUUGUCUCAGUUACAUAUGACAGGCAUCCAAUGUUUCAUAGUUUGAGAUCUUCCAAAACUCUGUAUAUACAGAGAAAGAAUCCAUCCCUGUUCUGCAAGUGCUUAUGAUAACCCACCCUCUUUCUCAGAGGUAAAUGACUUUCUGAAAUCUCAUGGGCAGUGAAGCCUGUGUCUUUAUGAUGCUGUGAUUUCUGUGAGAUAGAUUAGGAUUUUGGAUCAAGCUAUGCCUGAUGAUUUUUAUUCUUUAUUUUAAUAAGUUCUCUCUGAUAGUUACAACCUUUCACCUCCCUCAAUUGUGAUAAGGGCAGUUUGCUUUGAACAUUCAUUCAAAAAAGCCUGAAGUCUGAAGAAGGGUGUAAUUUUGCAUUUAUUUGCAUUUAUUUUCCAUACACCUACUCCUGCCUUUCUGAGGAUUUCUGGGAACAUAGAAACCCUGAGAGAAAUAAAGAAAAAGGGCAACAUUUUCAGAAAGUGAAUCAUUGAGAAAAUGGCAUUCAAUCACCAGCAUAAGCAGAAUUUCCUGUUCAGCUGAGACAGUUUUGAGUCUUGCCUAGAGAAACUGAAGCCAGAAGUGUAUCCAGGGAGAACAAAUUUAAAUUGUGUGAGUUGUUAGAGCUACUUGUUAUGUGCUGUGGAUGCAUGAAUUCAUGAAUGUGGUAUUAAUUUCCUUGUUGUGUAAAGCAUUUCAUCUCCAGUGCCUCUGCCCUCAAAGCCUCUCCCUGUUUUUGUACCCUUCUUCAUGAGCACAGGUGCUCUGUGCUGCAGAGCUGCUCUCCGUGCCUGGAGCUCUCCACCCAGUCCUUUGCUUUCAAUUUGGCAAGCCAGUGAGGUUUUUUCAGGACUGCUGUGUACUCUUUAAUUUGAGCAACGAUGAAUUUUGUGCUGGUGGAAGAGGGUUGGGCACUUAAAGCAAAUGUACUUCAGUUAUUUAUUAGUUACGGGUUUUAAGGAAACUAUUUAUGGAAUUGUACCAAAACCACGUGUAGUGAAACAUCCUUAAUAGUCUCAUCUAAAAGACUGAACCUGCCAUAUAGCUGCACUUCAGCAGCUGGUACUGCUCACUCUCGUGCAUUUCAUGUCCCACUUUGAACACUGACCAGAGAAUAGUAGAUGCCUUUUUCAGUCCAGAACUGCUGCUGAUUCUUUCUCUCUACAACCUUGCACUCUGAACCACAGCAAUCUUGUCAGCAUUUUCGAUGGUGGAGAGGUGGUGAGCUAUCAUGGUGCAUGUGUGACCUUUUCUGUCUUGAACUGACGCUUCCUGACAGUCUCCACAAUGGAAAAACCAAAAGAUUUGUACUCUCUGGAAUCCCACUGCCUUCACAGAAGCUCCUCAUAGUAUCUGUACCACUCUGAAUUGUUGCUCAUGGAUUGUACCAGGAGCUACUCGAUUCAUUAGGUAAGUGUAUGACAAAUUCUGCUGCUCAUAAAGAAGGCAUGAAAUUCAUUUGCUCUCUUUUAACUAUGUCAUUUCUGCACUUCCUUUCAAUGAGCGUAGGUUUUUUUUACUUCUGGUGUGUGAAGAUGGCAUUUCUCCACAGGCAGUAUUCCAGGAAGAACCUCGCUUUUAAAAAAGUAGAUUUCUACCUAGAGUUAAAAGUAGAUGCUUGAGACUUAUUUUCCUUCAAGUUUGCUUGAUAUACUGAGAGUAAAACAUUUUGCUGAAUUGCUAUGGAAGGACAUAUGGUUUAAAUACUGCCAGAAACUGGUGAUCUGCAAAAAACUGUUUCAAUGAAUAUAGUCUGCCAAAACCAGAUAUUCAGGUCAUCGCUUAACAGUCAUGUAACUCUUCUGACAAAUACUCUCCAAGGAAGUUGGCAUGAGAUGAUAAUCACCUGUAAACACCAUGGCUAUGAAAAAACUUUGAAAUAUUUCAGUGCAUUAGAAGGCACUCAACAAGUUUACUAAUUUGGCAAAACUUUGUGAAUAAUUAGAGGCAGUGUAAUGAAUUUUUUUUCUUUGUUACCUUAUCAUGUAAAGAAGAACACAUUUCUUUUUUUUAACACAUUUAUUCUUUUAAAAAUAAACUUUUCUAACUUCUUACUUUAAUGUGUAA